UAAUAAUUAGAUUGGGUCGUGAUAUGAUCUAUCGAACCUGUUUAAGGUCUUUUUAACCUAUUAGAAACAUGCUUAACAUAUUUGUUCUGUUUAACCCAAUUUACUUUACAUGUUUAAUCCGUUAAAUUCGUUUCAUUCAUUAAAAAUUCACUUAACCUAAACAGAUCUAUUGAAUCCGUUUAAUAUUAAGUGAAUCUUUUUAACUUGACCUGUUUAGUAAAUUGAUUAUAUGGAUUAGGUCAAGUUAUCUAUUUAAUAUUAAACAGAUCAGAUUUUGAUCUAAAUUUUU
rnacentral:lncRNA from 1 species